UCCGGCUUGACGCCGGCAGUCCCCCGAGAGUCCUCAGCAUUACCUGUUAGCAACACGGGGCAAGGGUUGCGCUCGUUGCGGGACUUAACCCAACAUCUCACGGCACGAGCUGACGACAGCCAUGCGGCACCUGUGCACGAUCUCCGAAGAGGGGCUCUCGUUUCUGAGAGCUUGCUCGUACAUGCCAAGCCUAGGUAAGGUUCUUCGCGUUGCGUCGAAUUAAACCACAUGCUCCACCGCUUGUGCGGGCCCCCGUCAAUUCCUUUGAGUUUUAAUCUUGCGACCGUACUCCCCAGGCGGUCUACUUCUCGCGUUAGCUGCGUUACUAAGGGAUUUAACUCCCCCAACAACUAGUAGACAUAGUUUAGGGCGUGGACUAC
rnacentral:misc_RNA from 1 species